rnacentral:rRNA from 1 species
GAUGAACGCUGGCGGCGUGCCUAAUACAUGCAAGUCGAGCGAACGGACGAGAAGCUUACUUCUCUGAUGUUAGCGGCGGACGGGUGAGUAACACGUGGAUAACCUACCUAUAAGACUGGGAUAACUUCGGGAAACCGGAGCUAAUACCGGAUAAUAUUUUGAACCGCAUGGUUCAAAAGUGAAAGACGGUCUUGCUGUCACUUAUAGAUGGAUCCGCGCUGCAUUAGCUAGUUGGUAAGGUAACGGCUUACCAAGGCAACGAUGCAUAGCCGACCUGAGAGGGUGAUCGGCCACACUGGAACUGAGACACGGUCCAGACUCCUACGGGAGGCAGCAGUAGGGAAUCUUCCGCAAUGGGCGAAAGCCUGACGGAGCAACGCCGCGUGAGUGAUGAAGGUCUUCGGAUCGUAAAACUCUGUUAUUAGGGAAGAACAUAUGUGUAAGUUACUGUGCACAUCUUGACGGUACCUAAUCAGAAAGCCACGGCUAACUACGUG